UACGUAGGGUGCGAGCGUUAAUCGGAAUUGCUGGGCGUAAAGCGUGCGCAGGCGGUUCGUUGUGUCGGCGGUGAAAGCCCCGGGCUUAACCUGGGAACUGCAUUUGUGACUGCAUCGCUGGAGUGCGGCAGAGGGGGAUGGAAUUCCGAGUGUAGAGGUGAAAUUCGUAGAUAUUCGGAGGAACACCAGAAGCGAAGGCGGCCAACUGGCCCGAUACUGACGCUGAGGCGCGAAAGCGUGGGGAGCAAACAGG
rnacentral:rRNA from 1 species